rnacentral:rRNA from 1 species
CACGUAGGGUGCGAGCGUUGUCCGGAAUUAUUGGGCGUAAAGGGUGUGUAGGUGGUUGUGUUAGUCUUCUGUUAAAUUCUUCGGCUUAACCGGGGGCAUGCGGAGGAAACGGCACAACUAGAGGAUGCGAGAGGUACAUGGAACUCAUGGAGUAGGGGUGAAAUCCGUUGAUAUCAUGGGGAACACCAAAAGCGAAGGCAAUGUACUGGCGCACUCCUGACACUGAAACACGAAAGCGUAGGUAGCGAAUGGG